rnacentral:tRNA from 1 species
CAGUAAAUAGUUUAAAGAAAACAUUAAUUUUGGAGAUUAAUAAUGGGAGUUAUUCUCUUUUCUGA